CAAAAAAGAAAUAGUCACUAAUUUAGAGUAUUGUCAUCAGAUCUUGGAUUUAUAUAAAUUAAUUGUUUUUGAAAUGAAGACGCCUAGAUAAUAUAUAUACUAGGAUGGAGUAUAUUACUAACUAUUGCAAAAAUAAGGGAAUACAAUUCCACUUGCUGUCAAAGACGAAUAAAAAGCCUCCAUCCUGUGCCAAUAAACCAGUGAAAGAGAAAAGCAAGCGAAGUUUUAAAGGCACGCAUUGUUGUGUUUGCUGUUGCGCGUGCGUCGAAUUCCUACUCCAAUGUUAUAAAGGAUUAACUUGUGACAGAGAUGCACAGAUUGGGAAGGCGCUCUGUAAUCUAUUGAUUCACUUUUUGGUUAUUUUAAGUGAUUGUUUUCGUUUUAUACGUAAAUUGUGUUGCUGUAUUGUCGAUGAUAUUCAUAAAUAAUAAAUAAUUUGAUAAACUA